CUGGCAAAGACUGCAUAAUCUGGGAAACGUCGCUAUCAGAUUCUUAUAAAUUCAAGAUAGAAUUUCUCAGAAAUGAAUAACUUCCUUCUAGUUUUUUUUUUCUGCUUCUUCUAAACAAUUUAAUUUCAUACGUAAUACUUCUUCUAAAUCAUGUAAUAUUUCUGACUGAACAUUUGUUGCCGCUUCUGAUAGAGACUGUUUGCCUUGGAAUUAAUUUUUGUAGCAGUGCUUUGAUGUUUCGUAUCUUUCGAAUUUUUUUCUGGUUUUCUAUUAAGCAUUCUUCGACCAAAGGAAUAUCUACGCCUGAAGAUGUAUUAUUCAUUGCAUAUAUCGGUAUUCUUGUUGCAAAUGAACAAAUCACACACAGUAUCAUCAUCAUAUUGGAUAAGCAUCCAUAGUCAUGCGAUCUAUCAUCCUGAUUAAAGUCUCUUCAAAGUUAUUCUCAAAAAUACUACCAUUUACCAUUUAUCUUUGGCGUUUCUUUUCACCUUUCCCUCGCGGUCCCUUUUCCGCUUUCAAAAUUCAAAUUCUCUCCAAGGUUAUUUUCAACAAAAUUGACUGAUUUAUGUUUUCGGUACGUUGUAUUCCUUCGACGUAAUUUUCACGAACACUCCUAUCCGCCAUAUAUGUCGAUGGAACGAUCCCUGAUUAAAGUAGGCCAUUUAUAAGGUAAGAUGUUUAAAAUGUACUUAUUAACUAAUUUUUUGGUUUUUACAUCGUUUUUAUUAUUUCUAGGAUUGUCAGUUCCUCCAGUUUUUCCCAGGCUGGGAAUUGGGUACAUCCUCUGUCCUAAGUAUAUUAUGACAUCUAAGAAUAGCGAAUCUGCCCGCCAUUCUUUGCUUAGGUAUAUCGUCUCCGAAAUUAGAAGGAAAUUCGUCCGCUAUCUACUUUUUGCCUGCUCGGAGCGUAUGGAAGACGAUUUAGUGACGUGACCUGUUCGCCUCGCCGCGCCGCGUUUCUGCUCGCUCCGACAGCAUCUAAGAUGGCGGCGCUCUCCGGUGUCGGCGUUCUUCCUCCGUUAAGUACUUUUCCUCGUAUUUACUAAUCGGUUCCGCUUUCGCGAUUCCUUUUCGCGUUAAUUCAUACUAGGUCACGUGACCAAAAAUAAUUCGCACAAAAAACCCGGGUUCCGUGAGAUCGAAAUUCAUGCCUUUAUUUUAAGCAGACCGCCUAAAAUGGCUGACGAUUGCCAACUAUCACCAUAACCUCGCUACCACUGCCGCCUAUACACUUCGAUCCAUUAAGUGUGACGUAGCUGAAAUGGCCAUGUCUUUCGAAGGUUACGAUUGUAGCCAGUUCCAAAGGAACAAACACCGAUGAUCAACAUUGUUUCGCUUCGUGACCAUCAUGAAGUAACCAUGUAUUGUGGGCAACUCCGCCAAAACCAAUACAUGUUCUGAGCGUUUUGAAACCACCACAGAUCGUUCUGAAACAGAUCA
rnacentral:lncRNA from 1 species